rnacentral:tRNA from 1 species
GCUCGGUUAGUUCAGUUGGAAGAACACCGCUUUUACACAGCGGGGGUCGGCAGUUCGAACCUGUCACCGAGUACCA